rnacentral:rRNA from 1 species
UACAGGGGGGGCAAGCGUUGUUCGGAAUUACUGGGCGUAAAGGGCUCGUAGGCGGCCAACUAAGUCAGACGUGAAAUCCCUCAGCUUAACUGGGGAACUGCGUCUGAUACUGGAUGGCUUGAGUUUGGGAGAGGGAUGCGGAGUUCCAGGUGUAGCGGUGAAAUGCGUAGAUAUCUGGAGGAACACCGGUGGCGAAGGCGGCAUCCUGGACCAACACUGACACUGAGGAGCGAAAGCCAGGGGAGCAAACGGG